rnacentral:misc_RNA from 1 species
AACGCAAAUUGCGCUCGAGGCCUCGGCCGAGAGCAUGCCUGCCUCAGCGUCGGUUUCACCCUCUCAUGCCCAUUUUUUGGUCACCAAUCAAAAAAAGGCAUGGACCUGGUGGUGUCGGUUGCCUGCGCAACCGGCUCCGCCGAAAUACAGACGGUCUUGCAGCGCCAUCUCAACGGGCGGCAACAAGGUAGGUGGAAGCGUUUCCCCUUUUUUAUCGAAAGGGAAACCUCUGCAUGCCGUUGUCGCGCCCCAAGGUCUGCAUGGCCGGCCAGGAGCGGGUCCCCAGCGGCCCGGACACCAAACCUUCGACCUGAGCUCAGGCAAGAGCACCCGCUGAACUUAA